rnacentral:lncRNA from 1 species
AUGGGGAAGGAUGUGUGGGCCACCGUGCCCCCCCACGAUGGUGCCACUCGCCUCCACAGAGAUGCACACAGAUGGGAUCAGGCUGCUGCUCAUGACUCCUUCCCGGGAUGCUGGUGGGAAUGCAGAACCAGCUCACUGCUCACCGUGCCACAUCCCUGCCCAUCAGGAUGGAAAACAGGGCAGCAGCAGAGUUUGUAUGGGGAAAGAUACACAGCCUCAGCUCCCGAGUCAUCUUGCUUUUGGAGGGAGAAAGAAGGGGGAAGGGCGGGGAGACAUCAGUUCCCCAGGGUAACAAGGUCAAGGUGUCUCAAUGUGACGACGAGAUGGACGUCCCCAGCGACUGCUCCGGGUGGCCCCCACCCACCACACCCGUGUCCAACACGGUGUCACCAAGACGCCUGCCAGGUGUCAGCGGGGAGCCCCAUCCACGCUGGACCCCAUCCGUGGGGCACAUCGCCCACAGCCGGCUCGAUGCAAGGAGGGACAAGGCGGCAGACAAGGCUCGGUGCAGCAUUGCCCUUCGAUGGGCAGGCGACGGUGGCGGGUGACAGUCUGGUGGCACGUGGUGGGGUCUGUACAGCGUAACUGGCGACAAGAAUGAUCCCGGCAGGUGGGAGACGUGGCCGUCCUCGGCCCUUUGGCGCCGCUCCCCGUCCUCCGGCGUUGUGCCCGUCUGACGGAGAGGAGUCCCCGGGCGGCCGUCCCGGGACCCUCCACUCCCUUAUCAAAAGUCGAGGAGGAGGCGAGCGAGGAGGGUGGCCCAGAGGCAGAGGCCAGCGGCCGCCCGGGAGGCUGCGUUGCCACUGUCGUGCACCGCUCCGGGCCCUGCACCAGGGGGAGAA